rnacentral:rRNA from 1 species
CCUACGGGUGGCAGCAGUGAGGAAUAUUGGUCAAUGGGCGCAAGCCUGAACCAGCCAAGUCGCGUGAGGGAUGACGGUCCUAUGGAUUGUAAACCUCUUUUGUCCGGGAGUAAGGCCCGCCACGUGUGGCGGUAAGUAGAGUACCCGAAGAUAAAGCAUCGGCUAAUUCCUGCCCACCAGCCGCGUUAAUACGGAGGCUGCGAGCGUUAUCCGGAUUUUUUGGGUUUAAGGGGGGCUCAGGCGGGCUGUUAAGUCAGCGGUAAAAGCCCGGGGCUCAACCCCGGUCCGCCGUUGAAACUGGCAGUCUCGAGUUGGAGAGAAGUAUGCGGAAUGCGUGGUGUAGCGGUGAAAUGCAUAGAUAUCGCGCAGAACUCCGAUUGCGAAGGCAGCCUGCCGG